UGGUCUUUGGCUACCUUACUUUGGAUCACUUGGUUGAAACAGUUCCCUUAGUCAACUUGUCCACUGGACUUAAGCUGUGGGACACAGAAAUUUUCCCUGGAAGAACAGAACAAUGAAGAUGAAUAGUUGAAAAAUGAGGGAAUCCUGCAUUCUAAAGGAUCUAGUCUGGAUGCCAGGAGCUGUGUAUAGGAUGAGAGCCUGGUGGACCUGAUUGACCGCCUGUUGUUCAGUUCAGUUCAGAGACUGAAAAUCAGGAUUUGUGCUGGAGAGUCUUUGAACUGUGUGUGAAAGUAUCUGAAGGUCCAUGACAAUUUGAAAGGAGGCAUAUGAAAAAGGUGCAGGAAUCGAAGGCACGAGAUACACCUGAAAGUGGUGGAGCAAUGAAUCUGAACAGGAUGAUGGAUUGAAAGUGCUCAAAAGAGGCAGCUAGGAUCCUGUAUUCAUGUCCUACCACUGCAGCCAGGGAAAGAUCCUCCCACAUCUAUCAGAAGACUGGAGGAUUAUGUCUGGAGAGAUUGAAUUCUAGGGAUGCUCAGGCCCAAAUGAAGGUUUGAGCACACAAUGAAAUGAGUUGAUAUUGACUGUUGGGAACCAGAGUUCUCAGUGGAUGAAGAGACACAGAAAAAUAAAAUGAAGGAAGGCAAAGAAGAUCUCUGAAGAGAUGGAUUGGAAUUGGAAGCAUUAGUAUGAACCAUGAUUCUAAAAUAGUUAUAUAUUGAUGUCUAUGCUUGUAUAUAUCCAGAAGUUUAUGUAUGUAUGUUUAAAUGUGUGUGUAAU
rnacentral:lncRNA from 10 species